GUGAAGAACGUAGCGAAAUGCGAAAAGUAAUGUGAAUUGCAGAAUUCAGUGAAUCAUCGAAUCUUUGAACGCACAUUGCGCCCGCCAGUAUUCUGGCGGGCAUGCCUGUCUGAGCGUCAUUUCAACCCUCAUGCCCCUAGGGCGUGGUGUUGGGGAUCGGCCAGCGCCCGCGAGGGACGGCCGGCCCCUAAAUCUAGUGGCGGACCCGUCGUGGCCUCCCCUGCGAAGUAGUGAUAUUCCGCAUAGGAGAGCGACGAGCCCCUGCCGUUAAACCCCCAACUUUCUAAGGUUGACCUCAGAUCAGGUAGGAAUACCCGCUGAACUUAAGCAUAUCAAUAAGCGGAGGA
rnacentral:misc_RNA from 1 species